rnacentral:lncRNA from 1 species
CACACUGGGGCAAAGUGGUUCAACCAGGGCCUCAAGGCCAGGUGGAGGCAGGACUGGAACUGGAAGGGGCGUUGCUUCUCCUAACUGAGGCUCCCAGCCAAGCCUCAUCUGCCAUAAUGUCCCCUCCUCCCAAUGCCAGGGCAAAGUCAGCGGGAUGGAAACCGGCAGACUGGAGGAAGCUGGGGCCCCGUGGUUUACUCAGAGACCACUGAAGGCAGAACAGGCACCUCUCACGCCCCGUGCCAGCCACAGGGCAAACCUAGUUGUAAUCUCCACGGCCAGCAGGCCCAGCGUCUUUCUAAGUGUGCAUCAUCUCCAUGAACCCGCUCACCCAUCAUGAGGUUUCAGCUGAAACUACUGAAAAUAUACAUAGAUCUGUUUACGUGGAACCAGUUAAAUAAGAUAAGAUUACGACUUGGAGGUAACUGUGGAUUUGGUGGUGGGAAAAGAAAGCCCCUCCACAUUUGGUCCCCACACACCCUCCUGCCAUUGGACCACAGACACUGUCGAG